UUCCUCUGGAGGAAAAGAUUUAAGUGAUGCUUGCAAUUUGUUCAAGCACUAACAUCCUGUACCCAAGCAGAGCACUUCUCCCGAACGUGUUACCGAGACACGGAGAACCCAAGAGAGACAACACGCGCGUCUGGCACCGCCACGGGAGUGAUGACUGGCCCGUCUGCAAAGGCCAAUGUAACCUUCCUAGGAUCCUGUGCAAAAAUCUCCAAAACUCAACACCAAAAUGAGGAGCUACCUUAAACGUUAUCUCAGAAGAUCUCUGCGAGGGAAAGGGGAAGUCAUUCAAACACAUGUCCCUCAGAUCUAAACACCAGGGAAGAAGAGUGAAGUGUGGAAAAUGACACCUCUAAUUCUUUGUUACUCUUACUUAUUGUACACAGAGUUUGUUGUAAGGAAAAUCAGUCAGUGUAUUUCCAGUCUGGACUUCUCUUCCCAAAUGUAAUC